AUAGAUUAUGACAAGAAACAACCCUCACUCUAAAAUUUUGCUGUCAAAAGAAAGCCUAUACAAAAAAGUGUAUCUGUAAUUCAACUUCAUUUAUUGGACACUUCACUUCACUGUAAAAAAAACACGUGUAUUUUUUCCCUCUCUUAUUGGGAAGUGUUGAGUAAAUAGAGAGACCAACCCCUUUUAAGUCAUAUAGUAUACAGAUUUCUACUUUUUAAGUAUAUAAAUGAUGUACUUUGGCAUCCACUAUGGGGAGAGGGAGGGGGAAUGGAGAUGAGAUAGAGAUUUGUCAUACUAAUAAUUUCUCCCUCCCUCUUAUCUUUAACUCCAACAACCAUGUAAAUCACUAAUUAAGUUUUGACAACUCUUAAUUAGUUUCUGAUUUCAAAUUUGUUUUCAAGAGUGAGAGAAGACCAUUCAAAUCCAGAACAGCUACCCAAUGGAGAAGAAAAGAUGCAUUCCAUUUCCAGCCUCCAUGAGCACACCAUCAUAUAAUCAUGCAUUAGCUAGUACUAGUAGUACUUUUUUUUCUUUCUUUCUUUCUUUAGGGGUAAGAAUUUCAUGUACCAUUACUAUUUACUACUACUACUAAUGGUCGAAAAUUAUCAUGUGCUCACUUCUCGAAACUCUGUCAGGGGAUUCAACCCAAUGAGAUAUAUAUAUUUAUCAACCUAUAACUAAUUUGAUAUCUGUAAUGGCCAAGAACUAUAUUGUUCUUCCUAGCUAUAUGCUAUUUUUAUAUGCGUUAAUCAGUUGCAUCUAGAGAUAUAUAAUGCUGUGUUUAUGCUUUAACAUAUUUAUGAGCAUGCUUUGAUCUUAGCUCAUUAUUUAAUUACACCUUCUAGACUACUUUUACUAAAUUUUUACCAAGAUGCAACAAAUUAAAUAAAAUUUUGCGUAUAACACUCGACUACAUAUUGAACUCUCAUUCUUAAUUUGCCACUGCAGCCGGUAUAAUUCGAUAUAAAUCGUUUGAUAUUUGGGUUAUAU
rnacentral:lncRNA from 1 species